rnacentral:rRNA from 1 species
AAGCUCGUAGUUGAAUUUCGGGAUUAAUUUAUUGGUCGUGCAAUAGUACGUACUGGUAUUAUUGAUUCCUACCUUCUGACGAACCAUGAUGUCAUUAAUUUGGUGUCAUGGGGAAUCAGGACUGUUACUUUGAAAAAAUUUGAGUGUUUAAAGCAGGCUCACGCUUGAAUACAUUAGCAUGGAAUAACGAAAUAGGACGUUUGAUUUUAUUUUGUUGGUUUCUAGGAUCGACGUAAUGAUUAAUAGGGAUAGUUGGG